rnacentral:tRNA from 1 species
ACAUUGGUGGUUCAGUGGUAGAAUGCUUACCUUCCAUGUGGGAGACCAGGGUUUGAUCCCAUCCAAGGCA